rnacentral:rRNA from 1 species
UCGAUUUGGAGUUUGUUGCCCUGAGUGAUGGGCUCCGAAGCUAACGCGAUAAAUCGACCGCCUGGGGAGUACGGCCGCAAGGUUAAAACUCAAAUGAAUUGACGGGGGCCCGCACAAGCGGUGGAGCAUGUGGUUUAAUUCGAUGUAACGCGAAGAACCUUACCUGGUCUUGACAUCCACAGAAUCUUGCAGAGAUGCGAGAGUGCCUUCGGGAACUGUGAGACAGGUGCUGCAUGGCUGUCGUCAGCUCGUGUUGUGAAAUGUUGGGUUAAGUCCCGCAACGAGCGCAACCCUUAUCCUUUGUUGCCAUCGGUUUGGCCGGGAACUCAAAGGAGACUGCCGUUGAUAAAGCGGAGGAAGGUGGGGACGACGUCAAGUCAUCAUGGCCCUUACGACCAGGGCUACACACGUGCUACAAUGGCGUACACAAAGGGAGGCGACCUC